UGGACUCGCGACUCUCCACUGUAAAACUGUGGGUGACCUGUGGGUGGCGAUGUGUUCAGAUCCCAUCAACUUAUUCAGGCAAAGUAACCUCCAUCACAGCAUGAGUCAAGUUAAGAGAAUGAUGCAACACUGUUUUUCUGUGAAGCUUCAGAAAUGUUUUGUGGACUACAAGAGUAUACCAGACUUGCCAUCGCUUGUCUGCAGAAACCUCCAGCGCUAUUUUGCUCUGCUUUCUGAUCGCCUGCGCUCUUGAGUUGCUCCCGGCCUCCACUCAAACCGACCUGCCUGCCUGCAAACCAGGUCUUCUCCUCCACGUUACCCUCCGGACAUCACCGCUGGUGCAAUAAAUAAUUUGCUCACU